rnacentral:rRNA from 1 species
AGUCGAGGGGUAUAAGUCUUCGGAUUUAGAGACCGGCGCACGGGUGCGUAACGCGUAUGCAAUCUACCUUUUACAGAGGGAUAGCCCAGAGAAAUUUGGAUUAAUACCUCAUAGCAUAGCAGCUUCGCAUGAAGCCACUAUUAAAGUCACAACGGUAAAAGAUGAGCAUGCGUCCCAUUAGCUAGUUGGUAAGGUAACGGCUUACCAAGGCUACGAUGGGUAGGGGUCCUGAGAGGGAGAUCCCCCACACUGGUACUGAGACACGGACCAGACUCCUACGGGAGGCAGCAGUGAGGAAUAUUGGACAAUGGGCGCAAGCCUGAUCCAGCCAUGCCGCGUGCAGGAUGACGGUCCUAUGGAUUGUAAACUGCUUUUGUACGAGAAGAAACACUGCUUCGUGAAGCAGCUUGACGGUAUCGUAAGAAUAAGGAUCGGCUAACUCCGUGCCAGCAGCCGCGGUAAUACGGAGGAUCCAAGCGUUAUCCGGAAUCAUUGGGUUUAAAGGGUCCGUAGGCGGUUUAAUAAGUCAGUGGUGAAAGCCCAUCGCUCAACGGUGGAACGGCCAUUGAUACUGUUAAACUUGAAUUAUUAGGAAGUAACUAGAAUAUGUAGUGUAGCGGUGAAAUGCUUAGAGAUUACAUGGAAUACCAAUUGCGAAGGCAGGUUACUACUAAUUGAUUGACGCUGAUGGACGAAAGCGUGGGUAGCGAACAGGAUUAGAUACCCUGGUAGUCCACGCCGUAAACGAUGGAUACUAGCUGUUGGGAGCAAUCUCAGUGGCUAAGCGAAAGUGAUAAGUAUCCCACCUGGGGAGUACGUUCGCAAGAAUGAA